UUUUUUUUUUUUUAAAUUAUAUGUAGUGCAGUGGAGACUUGCAUUUUUGAACUACUACUGUCCCUUGUGCAGAUGUGAACAUGAAGCUUAAUUUUUUUAAAAGAGGCUUAAUAAUUUCUAAUUCUAAAUACAACAUAUAAAACCAAAUACAAAUUUACUAUGCAAAUUUGUAGGUACUCAUUCAAUUAACUUUUGUGGGAAAGAGAAAACAAAACAAAAUAAAAUCACCUGCAUGUAAUAAUGCAUCUAUGUAAUUUUACAAUAUCCAGUAUUUUACCCCUAGCUACUGGAGAUAUGAUACCAUCAUGUGAGAAAUACACAGCCUGCUGACAGAAAGGAGAAAAGUAGAUACAAUAUAAUAUGAUAAAUGCUAUGAUAGGAGCAAAUGUAGGAUCUGUACAAGAAAGGCUUCCUGGAAUUUAAAUUGAGGUUUAAUGAUCAGAACAACAGAAUUUUCAAAGACCUUAUGCAUGAGACAUAUUUGAAGAUAAGAAAACAUUCUGUAUGGCUGAAAUACAGUAUAUGAAGAGGGCUUCCUAGGGAUCUGUAUUUGCUGGUGAGGAACUCUGUGCCAACUCCUUGCUCAUUCCCCUUCUUCCCUAACACCUGGAAAUAACUUAAUUCUGGUUAUCUAUAUCUCCUUAUGCCUCCAACAUUUCCUUUCUCUUCUCACUUUCACUUGAUAUCCUUUUUCCUUAUUUCAGUAGGAAAAUUAGAUAAAUCGUAUGAGGGUUUUUAGAUUAUUACCCCUCAUUUCAACCCAUAUCACCAAAUCUACAAUCUACCAAAUACUCAAUGUCAUAUUUGUAUUUCCUCCUGUUAAAUUGGAGGGAUCAUUCACCUAAGACCAACUUCUCUACAUAAUGGUCUGGGUUUCAUCGCCUUACACAUACUCCUGGGCAUCUAUUUUACAAUUGCCUUCACCCUUUCCAAUGUAUUGAUGAUUUUUUUCCCUUUCUACUAUAACAUUCACAUCAGAAUAUAGAUACUAGGUAAUAUCUCCCACCUCUAAAGGAACCUCUUCUGACUUCACAAUCCACUCUAAGUAGUGCUCCAUUUCUCUGCCCCUACUUAUAGUAGCACACACACACAACACACUUUCUCUGAAGACUGAUGUAUAUUCAUUAUUUCACUUUGUCUUCUCUCACUUUUUAAACUCCCUCCAAAUAAAAUUCAUUCCUAUUAAUCCAGUGAAAAUGCUCUUGUCAAAGUCAUUAACUGCCUCCAGGUUGCCAAAUCCAAUGACAAAGGUCCCUUUCAGUCUUUGAUAAACUCCUUAGCUUGUGAUACAUUUGAUCACUACCUCCUUGUUUUCUUUACUUAGCAUCAAAGAUGUAACCCUCUUCUUUCUCUUUUUCUCUCAGUGAAUAAUUUCUUUAGUCUGUUUUUCUGAUUAUUCCUCAUUCUUCAACCUCCAGAUAACAGAGUGGCCCAGUACUGAGUCUUUAACUAGAACCUGUAUCCAAGUACUGCAUCUCAAAUUCGAGCACUUCACGUCACCCCCUCUUCUACAAUUAGUCCAUGCCACUACUGCCUUCAGCUGAUCUACCAAUUUUGCCCUUGCUCUUUUCACUACAUUCCCAAUGGCCUUUCUCUAUUUCAGCAUGUGCCUAUGUCCAGGUAUUUGCUAUUUGUCCCUGGAAUAUUCUUACCUUAAUAUUUGGAUCACUUCUCUCAUAUCUUUGAUCAAAAGCCACCAAGUCAGAGAGAUCUUAAUAUAACAUACUAUAUAAAAUAGCCAUUCUUUCCUCUUCUCCUGCUUUAUUUUCUUUCUAGUACUUGUCAUGACCUGAUGUGAUUAUUCACUUGUUAUUUUCCACCUAUAUUCACUAGAAUGCAAAGCACCGCAGGAACAGGUUUUGUUGUGUUUUCUGCUAUAGUCUCAGAGUUUAGAACUCUGCCUAUAGCAAAGUUGCCACAGAAAAAUUCUUAUUAAAUUAUCACUUAAGUCUUAGAAAAUGGAAUCAAGAAGUGGGGAAGAUGACUUGGUUCUCCAAAAGAGGUAGGGAAAAUAAUAAAAAUAAAACAACCUUUUGUGUCAGUUUCGUGUGUUGGGAUUCUAAUGAAGUAUUUAAAAAUUCAUAGUCCUUUCUUAGAAACUAUGUUGGGGAUCCCUGGGUGGCGCAGCGGUUUGGCGCCUGCCUUUGGCCCAGGGCGCGAUCCUGGAGACCCGGGAUCGAGUCCCACGUCCGGCUCCCGGUGCAUGGAGCCUGCUUCUCCCUCUGCC
rnacentral:lncRNA from 1 species